rnacentral:tRNA from 1 species
GCUGCAAUGGGGAACUGUGGUUAGUACACAGGCUUAUAACCUGAUGGUUGUAGAUUCAAUUUCUGGUUGCAGCA